CUUGGUCAUUUAGAGGAAGUAAAAGUCGUAACAAGGUUUCCGUAGGUGAACCUGCGGAAGGAUCAUUAUUGAAAUAAAUCUGAUGGGUUGUUGCUGGCUCUCUAGGGAGCAUGUGCACGCCUUGUCAUCUUUAUAUCUCCACCUGUGCACCUUUUGUAGACCUUUCAGGUCUAUGUUGCUUCAUUUAUACCCCAAUGUAUGUUAAUAGAAUGUUGUGCCUAUAUUAUAAUAUAUACAACUUUCAGCAACGGAUCUCUUGGCUCUCGCAUCGAUGAAGAACGCAGCGAAAUGCGAUAAGUAAUGUGAAUUGCAGAAUUCAGUGAAUCAUCGAAUCUUUGAACGCACCUUGCGCUCCUUGGUAUUCCGAGGAGCAUGCCUGUUUGAGUGUCAUUAAUAUAUAUCAAACCAACCUUCUCUUGUUGAUUGGUUUGGAUGUGGGGGUUUCUUUUUUGCUGGCCUGUUCAGCUCCCCUGAAAUGCAUUAGCAGAACAAAAAAAAACCCUGGUUCAUUGGUGUGAUAAACUAUCUACGCUAUUGAAUGUGAGGGGGAAAAGUUCAGCUUUCCAACCGUCCUUUGGACAAUUCAUCAUUAAUGUGACCUCAAAUCAGGUAGGACUACCCGCUGAACUUAAGCAUAUCAAUAAGCGGAGGAAAAGAAACUAACAAGGAUUCCCCUAGUAACUGCGAGUGAAGCGGGAAAAGCUCAAAUUUAAAAUCUGGCGGCCUUUUGGCUGUCCGAGUUGUAAUCUAGAGAAGUGUUAUCCGCGCUGGACCGUGUACAAGUCUCCUGGAAUGGAGCAUCAUAGAGGGUGAGAAUCCCGUCUUUGACAUGGACUGCCAGGGCUUUGUGAUGCGCUCUCAAAGAGUCGAGUUGUUUGGGAAUGCAGCUCAAAAUGGGUGGUAAAUUCCAUCUAAAGCUAAAUAUUGGCGAGAGACCGAUAGCGAACAAGUACCGUGAGGGAAAGAUGAAAAGAACUUUGGAAAGAGAGUUAAACAGUACGUGAAAUUGCUGAAAGGGAAACGCUUGAAGUCCGUCAUGUCAUCCAGGGAUCAACCUUGCUUUUGCUUGGUGCACUUCCUGGUUUGACGGGCCAGCAUCAAUUUUGACCGUUGGAAAAAGGCUAGGGGAAUGUGGCAUCUCUGGAUGUGUUAUAGCCCUUGGUCACAUACAAUGGUUGGGAUUGAGGAACUCAGCACGCCGCAAGGCCGGGUGUUCGCACCACGUACGUGCUUAGGAUGCUGGCAAUAUGGCUUUAAUCGACCCGUCUUGAAACACGGACC
rnacentral:rRNA from 1 species